rnacentral:lncRNA from 1 species
CAAUUUACAUCUCUAAUUUAAAUUGCCCAAUUUUAAAUAGAGGAUUUUUUUGUUGAUUUGAGUGAAUUCUCUGUAAAAUGAAGAUUUUUAAAUCUGCUAUAUAUACACACAUGCACAUACAUGUGUAGUAAAUAUUUUACAAGUAUGCUGCCUUUUAUUUUUUCUCAAAUGCAGGGUAAUUUUUGUUUUGCUAAAUUAACCUUCACAAUGCUUAUUUCUGAGAGUCUUAGAAAGGUUUUGUCAACAUAAAAAUGUAUCUGUGUAAAUAGGCAUUUAUAUUUUCUUCUGAUUUUUUUUCAUUUUGUAUAUUAAAAAUUUUUAAUCUAUAUUCCAUCAGGAACUUAUUUCUUUUAUGUACUGUAACUUUGGCAUUUUUUUCUAGAGAUCAUCAAACCCAAGAGAGUCUAGAUUUUCUCCUGUUAUUUUCCAGAAGUUUUAUAGUUUUGUAUUUGACAUUUAGGUCCGUGAUUCAUUUUGACUUAAUUUUUGUGAGAAGGUAAGAUCUGAUUCAUUUUUUUUACAUGUGGGUAUUCAGUUGUUCCAGCACCACUUUCUGAAGAAACCAACCUUUGUUUCAUCAUGUUGCCUUUACUUUUUCAUCAAAGAUUAAUUAAAUAUAUCGAUGUGUCGCUAUUUCUAAACUCUCUGUCUUGUUUCAUUAACCUGUCUAUUCUUUCAUCAAUAUGAUACUGCCUUGAUUACCGUAGCCUUACAGUAAGUCUUGAAGUUGAGUAGUGCCUGUCUGUCCUCCAGCUUUGUUCUCCUUCAAUAUUGUGUUAGCUAUUCAAGGUCUUUUUCUUCCCCAUAUAAGCUUUAGAAUUACUUUUUCUAUAUCCAUAAAAUAAUUUGCUUCCAUUUUGAUUAGAAGUGCAUUGAAUCUGUACAUUGGUAAGAAAUGACAUCCUGAUGAUACUGAGUUAUUCUAUUCAUGAAUAUGAUGUAUCUUCUCCAUCUCUUCAGUUCUUUUUUUAUUUCCAUCAUCACAUAUGGACAGUUUAUGAAAUUACAUAACUCCCUCUACCUUGACCAAAGGACAGUGAUGAAUUCCUCGUUCUGCAGCCAACAAGUCACCUCUGAGGGCCAUGUGUCUAAACAUAGACAGGAGGGACACCUGUUGCUUCAGCCAACACCUGCUGGCAUGUGCUGAGGAUGCUGGUGCUGCUGGCUUUCCCAGCCCUGCCCCCGGGGCUGCUUUGGGUGUGUGCCUCUUGACUUUAGUGAGAAUGUACUUUUUCAUCCCUACCAUGGGUGAAAAGUUUUCACAAAUAAAAACUUUUUAAAAUAAUGCCAACUUUUGUAUUAGAUAGAGGUGCUGCGUGUGCAGGUUUGCGUGUGUCUUUUUGGUAGAAUGUUGUAUUUUCUUUUGGGGAUAUUCCCAGUAAUGAGAUUGCUGGGUCAAUUAGUAGCUGUGUUUUACAUCUUUUGAGAAAUCCCCAAACUGCUUUCCACAGUGGCUGACCUAAUUUACAUUCCCAGAGACAGUGAAUAGGAGUUUCCUUUGCAGCCUCGCCAGCAUCUGUUAACAAAUGACCACUUUUAUUCCAGACAUAGAUCAUCUGUUAGUUUUGAUUUUAGCACAUCCUCUGAAGAAGAUAGUGUUUUUCACAACCAAAGAUGAUUUCACCUUCCAAACGUGUUUUUUUUUUCUCAUUUUCUGAUGGCAUGCGGAACUUUCUGUCUGCAUCAGUUUGGGUAUAAGUUAAGAGCAUUGUACCUUGAAGUGUCCCAUCUCACUGUUCCCAUGCAGUGUUCUGUCCCAGAACUCUUCACUAGCUUUUUACCCCUGUGGGCCCAGUAGGGAGAGGAGCCCCCCAGAAAGUCUUUCACCAGGCAAGUGACGAACUAAAGAAUUACACAAUCAUGUGUGACUGUUCUCAAAGCUCCCAAACAUAGAAAGGGGGACAGUUGCAGGCAAUACAGCUUUAUUAAUGGCAGUAACAUCUCAGCUCAGCAGGAAACAUACUGUGGGCUAUGAGAACAGGUUACAAUGAAUAUUGAGGCAGAAAAAGUCACAUUAAUCACAUAUUAGCCCCAAAAUGCUCUUGCUCAAAUGGUAACUGUCCUUCCUGCACAUGUGGCAAUACCAGACUUGCAGAAAGCACACGUGGUGAG